AAGUUAAAUAAAACUAGAUUCAUAAGCUUAUUAUCUUAGGUCUGGGCUAUUAGCUCAGUGGUAGAGCGCGCCCCU
rnacentral:tRNA from 1 species